rnacentral:rRNA from 1 species
GAUGAACGCUGACAGAAUGCUUAACACAUGCAAGUCAACUUGAACUUCGGUUUGGGUGGCGGACGGGUGAGUAACGCGUAAAGAACUUGCCUCACAGCUAGGGACAACAUUUGGAAACGAAUGCUAAUACCUGAUAUUAUGAUUUUAGGGCAUCCUAGAAUUAUGAAAGCUAUAUGCGCUGUGAGAGAGCUUUGCGUCCCAUUAGCUAGUUGGAGAGGUAACGGCUCACCAAGGCGAUGAUGGGUAGCCGGCCUGAGAGGGUGAACGGCCACAAGGGGACUGAGACACGGCCCUUACUCCUACGGGAGGCAGCAGUGGGGAAUAUUGGACAAUGGACCGAGAGUCUGAUCCAGCAAUUCUGUGUGCACGAUGAAGUUUUUCGGAAUGUAAAGUGCUUUCAGUUGGGAAGAAAUAAAUGACGGUACCAACAGAAGAAGUGACGGCUAAAUACGUGCCAGCAGCCGCGGUAAUACGUAUGUCACGAGCGUUAUCCGGAUUUAUUGGGCGUAAAGCGCGUCUAGGUGGUUAUGUAAGUCUGAUGUGAAAAUGCAGGGCUCAACUCUGUAUUGCGUUGGAAACUGUAUAACUAGAGUACUGGAGAGGUAAGCGGAACUACAAGUGUAGAGGUGAAAUUCGUAGAUAUUUGUAGGAAUGCCGAUGGGGAAGCCAGCUUACUGGACAGAUACUGACGCUAAAGCGCGAAAGCGUGGGUAGCAAACAGG